CAAGAACUGCAGGAUAGGACCUGAGCCAAAGUCAGAAGCUUACCGACGGAGCCACCCAGGUGCCGCUGUCCCAGAUUUCUCAUCUGGCUUUGGACCCCGCACUCCCCCAAGCUCAGGACAUCCUAAAAGCGUCCUCUCUGGAACACCCAGGUGGGCAAAUGAUGAGAGAACCCUGGUGUCCCUGCAACACUGCUUGGCCUCUUCUAGAACCUUCAAGAACCCAGAAUACAAGUUCCACUGUGAUCCGUUAAUGCAGGAAAGAAUUGUGUGGUUUGUUUAAGGAGAAGCAAACCCUCAGUGGAAACACACAUCUGCUGGGAUUUUGGAGAGAUUUUCUCUCAUCAACCUAGCAAGUCAGCAGUGGAAAACGCAUCUGUCCAUAGGUGGCAGAACCCAGGAAACAUUAAUUUUUGAACACAAUAGAAGAUGCCUUUGCUCACCUUUGUACCUUCCACAAUGAUUAACACAGUGCCUCAAACUGAAGACACAGGAGGAGGGAAAACAGCAGGUGAUAGGUUCCUCUCCUGGGAUAAUGACAUUUUUUUCCCAGCCAUCAACUCCUUACUGGACAUCUUUAGGUUUUCCUUUGGUUGCAUUCGCCUUCUCUUGCUCUGUCAAGAAAAAGCAAAAGGGAUUUUUCACAUUUAGCCUUUGGUUUCUGAAGCUGCUUAGGCACUGCAUCACGGGUAAAAUUUGGGUUAAAGAUAAUUGUAAAUAUGGUAUUGAUAUUAACUGAUGUUUUCCCAACAUUGCAAUAAUGCUUGUUUUGUUUGUUGGA